rnacentral:sRNA from 1 species
GCCGGGCAUGAUGCCAUAGGCCUAUAAUCCCAGCAGCUUGGGAGGCUGAGGCAGGAGGAUUGCGAGUUCAAAGCCAGCCUCAGUAAUUUAGUGAGGCCUUAGGCAACUCAAUGAGACCCUGUCUCUA